AGGAAAUGCCAAGGUUCUCUUCUGAACAGAAGAGAAGCACACGGUCUAAGAUUUACUCAAGAUUCACAGGCUGUUAAGCUCCACAGCAGAGGAACACUAGGCCCUAUAUUCAAAUUCAUUCUUUCUCAAGUUUUUGAAAAGAAGAAAUAUUUCUCUAUUGGACAUUUAUUUUCUUUCAGAUUAGCUGAUUUACUGUGCAAGACUAAAUCAACGGCAGGCCUGAGGGAAACUGCACUGGAGCCGAGGAAAGGACACAUGGUGUGUUCCGUGGCGAGAGGACUCUGCAGGCAAACUCAGAAGGUGUCCAGAGUGAAAGGGAAAGAAAGUUCAAAAAAGAAUAAUAAAGACUUACUAACUGGAUGGACCACAAAGGAUGACUUUAAGAUUUAAACUGCCAGCAUCUCCCUGGGAUGACGAACAUUACUGGUCACCUCUGCUCUUCACAGACUUCCGGCACAGACCUUACAGCAGUGCAUCAGCAGUGACUCUCUUCCAGCUCCUUGGGCAUUUGCAGAGCAAACAUCCUCCUUGGUGAAGAGAGCUCCCCGAAAUCUCCCUCAUCCAUACUAUGGUAGAAGAAAAACCUGUCAUGGAAGAGGAAUUGUCAGCACCAGUCAUACAGAUGAGUCUUUAUAUGAGGACUGGGGAUUUAGCAUAGUGGUUCUGCCAACUACCUCACAAGCACAAGGUCCCGAGUUCAAUCCCCGGUUCCAAAACAAAACAAAAAACAGAUGAGUCUGUAUGAAUAACCUUUGCUAAAAUGACCUCAUUCGUUUG